rnacentral:rRNA from 1 species
GAUGAACGCUGGCGGCGUGCCUAAUACAUGCAAGUCGAGCGAACAGACGAGGAGCUUGCUCCUCUGACGUUAGCGGCGGACGGGUGAGUAACACGUGGAUAACCUACCUAUAAGACUGGGAUAACUUCGGGAAACCGGAGCUAAUACCGGAUAAUAUAUUGAACCGCAUGGUUCAAUAGUGAAAUACGGUUUUGCUGGCACUUAUAGAUGGAUCCGCGCCGCAUUAGCUAGUUGUUAAGUUAACGGCUUACCAAGGCAACGAUGCGUAGCCGACCUGAGAGGGGGAUCGGCCACACUGGAACUGAGACACGGUCCAGACUCCUACGGGAGGCAGCAGUAGGGAAUCUUCCGCAAUGGGCGAAAGCCUGACGGAGCAACGCCGCGUGAGUGAUGAAGGUCUUCGGAUCGUAAAACUCUGUUAUGAGGGAAGAACAAAUGUGUAAGUAACUAUGCACGUCUUGACGGUACCUAAUCAGAAAGCCACGGCUAACUACGUG